AGUGAACGCUGGCGGUAUGCCUAAUACAUGCAAGUCGAACGACCACACAGUAAGAUUGCGCCCCUACGGUUGGCGACGGGCGGGCGAGUGAGGCAUACAUCACCUUCUUCUUUUUCGGGGGUGACAACGGAGAGACACAGCCGCUAAUACCGCAUAUGUCCUACGGCUGAAAGCAGUAGAUCUUGGCACCUUGCGCGUCUCUUUUAGACGAGGCCGGAUUAGCUAGUUGGGUGGGUAAGGGCACACCAAGGCAACGAUCCGUAGCCGGUCUGAGAGGAUGAUCAGCCACACUGGAACUGAGACACGGUCCAGACUCCUACGGGAGGCAGCAGUGGGGAAUCUUCGACAAUGGGCGAAAGCCUGACGGAGCAAUGCCGCGUGAGUGAUGAAGGUCUUCGGAUUGUAAAGCUCUGUUGUUAGGGAAGAAAAAAUGCGUAAUUAACCAUGGACGUCUUGACGGUACCUAAACAGAAAGCACCGGCUAACUACGUG
rnacentral:rRNA from 1 species